rnacentral:rRNA from 1 species
GAUGAACGCUGGCGGCGUGCUUAACACAUGCAAGUCGAGCGAAGCAGUUAAGUUGAUUUCUUCGGAUUGAUUCUUAACUGACUGAGCGGCGGACGGGUGAGUAACGCGUGGGUGACCUGCCCCAUACCGGGGGAUAACAGCUGGAAACGGCUGCUAAUACCGCAUAAGCGCACAGAGCUGCAUGGCUCGGUGUGAAAAACUCCGGUGGUAUGGGAUGGGCCCGCGUCUGAUUAGGCAGUUGGCGGGGUAACGGCCCACCAAACCGACGAUCAGUAGCCGGCCUGAGAGGGCGACCGGCCACAUUGGGACUGAGACACGGCCCAAACUCCUACGGGAGGCAGCAGUGGGGAAUAUUGCACAAUGGGGGAAACCCUGAUGCAGCGACGCCGCGUGAGCGAAGAAGUAUUUCGGUAUGUAAAGCUCUAUCAGCAGGGAAGAUAAUGACGGUACCUGACUAAGAAGCCC